AGGAACUGCUGACACACUCCAGCCACAUGAAGUCUUGCAUUGUCUUGCAUUAGGAGGAACCCAGGGCCAACCGCACCAGCAUAUGGUCUCACAAGGGGUCUGAGGAUCUCAUCUCGGUACCUAAUGGCAGUCAAGCUACCUCUGGCGAGCACAUGGAGGGCUGUGCGGCCCCCCAAAGAAUUGCCACCCCACAUUACUGACCCACUG